rnacentral:lncRNA from 1 species
GCAUGUUUUCUGCCCUCUCCCAGGGGUGUCCUGAUAAACAGUUAACAUUAAGCUUUGGGCAAGGUUAGGGGAUGGGGAGGCAUCUUUGUAGUGUUUACCAAUUUCCAUAUUAUAAAUACUCCCACCAUGGCUGAUUUUAGGUUAUCAACAUGAGUUCACUGAAUGCAGAGCUGGGAAGAGAUUAUCAGAAUCAGCUCUCUCAAACCAAUAUGAACCUGCUCCAGCACACCCAAGAGAGAAUUUCUUUUCUUUUUUGCUGCCUCUUUGUUCACUGCUGAAACCAAGAUCUGCUCCCUCUCAGGCAGAGGACCAGGAAUACCUCUCUGAUGUGGCUCCUGCAGAAGUAAGAGUUUUUUUAUGCCUAGAAGAUAGAGGAGGUCUUCAGAUGAGAAGCCCAAAGCAGUGCUCAGGCACAGCUUACCAAGGAACUCAUAACAAAUGACUAGGCCAGGAGGCCUCCUCAAAUUCUAAAGUACAAAAAUUCUUUCUGUUCCUCUUCUCAAACCUAAUCGGACUCUGGACACACCCAGCAACUCAGUGUGCCCUUUAGUUAACUCUUUGUCUCCUCUCACAAUGAUUUCCUUUUACUUUAGAGAAACUUCUGCCAGUAACAAAAAUAUAAGCCAGGAGGAAAAAGAACUGGAAGAGGAAGAACACGUUUUUCUUAAUUCUUUUCAAAAUAUGUGAGGGGGAAAAAAAGUGGAGAAAUAUGCCACUCACUCUGGACAAAGUGUCUUGGAAGCAAGGCCUAAAAAGAUAGCCAUUAUGGCAACCAAAGGUGGAUGUAAUUACAAAUGAAGACUUUGGGGGAAUCUCUAAAACAAUUCCUACAAAGGGUGCAGUUCAGAAAAAUCUAUGCAAAGGAUGAAAGAAAGACAACACUGGAACCUCAUGAGAGCAGAGAAAAAGCAAAAGGUGAGACGUGAAAGAGGAGGUGGGAAGCAGAGGAAGGGGUGAGUGUGGGUAGCCACCAGCAGGGCUGCACCAGGGUGACCAUCUUACAUUUACAAUUCAAUGUAAGAAAAUGCAUGUCUUUGAAAAAAGCAGGUGAAGAAAGUAGAACUUCAAUGUUCUUAUACACACACACACACACACACACACACACACCACACAAAGGUAAAUGUGUGAAUAUGCGGACAGUACAGAGGAGCAUAAGUAAAAUGUGAAAGUCUCUCCCCUGCCCCCACCCCCAACAAACACACACCCACUAACGGGCGGGACAGGUGCCGUGUGGGACAGGUGCCGGGGUGGACAGGCAGGAGGCUGUGCAGCCCUGAGACUGUGGCCGCAUGCUGACCUGCUGAAGGCCAGUCCUGGACACUGCGGUUUAAACCAAACUUUCAGCCAAUGGCUUCACAGGAAGCCCUUAGACAGGCUUCCUGCACCCUGAAAAUCCUCACCUAAUUCUCAGCAAAUGUGAGACCUAUUGCCAAAAACAACCACCACCUCCCUAUUUUAUAUAAUUGGCAAAAUACAAAAACAAC